rnacentral:misc_RNA from 1 species
AUGCGAUACGUAAUGUGAAUUGCAGAAUUCAGUGAAUCAUCGAAUCUUUGAACGCAUAUUGCGCUCUCUGGUAUUCCGGAGAGCAUGCUUGUUUGAGUAUCAGUAAACACCUCAACUCCCUUUUCUUUUUUGAAAUUGGAGCUGGACUUGAGUGAUCCCAACGCUUUCUUCCAAGAAAGUGGCGGGUUGCUUGAAAUGCAGGUGCAGCUGAACUUUUCUCUGAGCUAUAAGCAUAUCUAUUUAGUCUGCCUAAAAAACAGAUUAUUACCUUUGCUGCAGCUAACAUAAAGGAGACUAGUUCUUGUGCUGACUGAUGCAGGAUUCACAGAGACAGCUUCGGCUGACUUUGUAAACUCGAUCUCAAAUCAAGUAAGACUACCCGCUGAACUUAA